rnacentral:lncRNA from 1 species
CUCUUAUUUUCUCAUUUGAUGACAUCAUAGUUUGAAAGGUAGUGAAUCACAGUCCUAUAUUGACAAGAACCAGCAAUAAAAGCUUCGCACUUAACUGCUUGUAUACAGAUCGGAAAGGAGCAGCUUAGUACUAGUUGUACUACUAAGGUGACAUUUUUUUUUUGGUGAGAAUGUAAUGGAGGAAGAGAGAAAGAGAGAGGAGAAGANNNNNNNNNNNNNNNNNNNNNNNNNCAGCUUAGUACUAGUUGUACUACUAAGGUGACAUUUUUUUUUUUGGUGAGAAUGUAAUGGAGGAAGAGAGAAAGAGAGAGGAGAAGAAGUGAAGUGGAGAAGAAUUGAAAUCAAUAAUGGGGGUACUGAGGAGACAUUUUAUGGGGUCCAAUUGUAGUGCUUUAGCUCUUCUUUUUCUUCUUUCACCACACCGUUUUCUUUCUUUAAUUGUACCAUUAGCAUUAAGUAUGGCUUUUUUAAAAAGAAUUUCCUUAUUUUAAUAAUUCUGCUAGCAUCAUACAUGCAGUCAUUAUCAAGAAUAUUAGCAAAAUCCAGUACUUUAAAUUAACCCUAGUGUCUAGCUAUAGUAAAGUGGCGUGUAUAAGAACG